ACUCAAAGGAAUAGACGGGGACCCACACAAGCGGUGGAGCAUGGGGUUUAAUUCGAUGACAAGCGAAGCACCUCACCCAGGCUUGACAUCCCAGAAAUCUCGAAGAAAUUUGAGCGUGCCGCAAGGAAUCUGGAGACAGGCGCUGCACGGUCGUCGUCAGCUCGUGCCUUGAGGUGUACUGUUAAGUCAGCCAACGAGCGCAACCCUCAUCUCAUGUUGUUAUUUCAUGAGAGACUGCCGCCUCCAAGGCGGAGGAAGGUGAGGAUGACGUCAGAUCAGCGUGGCCCUUAUGCCUGGGGCAACACCCGUGCUACAAUGGCCGGUACAAACAGCAGCAAACUCGCGAGAGUAAGCAAAUCUGAGAAAACCGGUCUCAGUUCGGAUUGAAGUCUGCAACUCGACUUCAUGAAGUUGGAAUCGCUAGUAACCGUGAAUCAGCUACGUCACGGUGAAUAUGUUCCUGGGUCUUGUACACACCGCCCGU
rnacentral:rRNA from 1 species